rnacentral:rRNA from 1 species
UACGGGGGGGGCAAGCGUUGUUCGGAAUUACUGGGCGUAAAGGGCUCGUAGGUGGCCAACUAAGUCAGACGUGAAAUCCCCCGGCUUAACCAGGGAACUGCGUCUGAUACUGGAUGGCUUGAGAUUGGGAGAGGGAUGCGGAAUUCCAGGUGUAGCGGUGAAAUGCGUAGAUAUCUGGAGGAACACCGGUGGCGAAGGCGGCAUCCUGGACCAACACUGACACUGAGGAGCGAAAGCCAGGGGAGCAAACGGG